rnacentral:rRNA from 1 species
UACGAAGGGGGCUAGCGUUGCUCGGAAUUACUGGGCGUAAAGGGCGCGCAGGCGGCCCUUGAAGUCAGGCGUGAAAGCCCCGGGCUCAACCUGGGAGGUGCGCUUGAUACUCGAGGGCUUGAGUACGGGAGAGGAGAGUGGAAUUCCCAGUGUAGAGGUGAAAUUCGUAGAUAUUGGGAAGAACACCGGUAGCGAAGGCGGCUCUCUGGACCGUAACUGACGCUGAGGCGCGAAAGCGUGGGGAGCAAACAGG